rnacentral:lncRNA from 1 species
GGCGCCUUACCUGUGCUUCCGUCGAGAAGGUGAAAGUCAUGCUCUUUUGUUGUUGAUGCAUCAAAUUUCUCGUUCCAAACUCCUUUGAAGUAUAAAGCAUUUGCAAAGAUGAGCUUGGUUGUGCUGUCAACUGACCCGGGAGGAAGUAUCUCCUUGAUAAGGCCACUAGUCUCCUUUUCAGCCCAUGAAUUCACUCCAUUUAGAAAAUUUUGCUUUCUGUCAGCAUGCUUCUUAUAUUAUUUCAUUAAGAAAAACCCACUAACGAACAGUUGCUUUACUAACUAAUUGAAAAGGCAAUUUUCAAAUCAAUAAACAAUCUGUGAUAAGAUUGAUUGCAUAAUGCCAUAAUGGCAUUACCAGCAUAUUAACAUGAAAACACAAGGCUAAUUACCAAAAAAUUAGUUAAAGUUUGCUGCUUGUUGUUGCAAUGAGAGUUUGAAUGAAGCAAGAAGGAUAGAGUCCCCAAGACUUGCAGCAAGAAAAGUUAGAGACUUUCAUUUCAUGGGCUUACAUUGGUCUGAAAAUCGACUUGGUAGAGAGCGGCCUUGUAAGCAGUGUCCACCACCUGCUUGAAAGAAGGCUUGAGAAGGAGAGGCCGGUUGACCCAAAUGCCAUUUGCAAAUGACAAGCCCCCGCCGCUCGGGAACCCAUCGGAGAAGAUGACGGAGAUAAACUCGGCCGCAAAGGAGUUGAGGUGAUCGGCGGACUUGGACUUGAGGAAGGAGAGCAGCUGGUCCUGGGUUGGACCCUUGGACCCAGCGGCGAUCAGGCUGAGCACCACGUGGAUGGACAGCGGGGUUUAGACCACGUUCG